AAAAAAACCUAGUUAUUUCUACAGCAUUUUAAAGAUGAUUUUUGAUAGCAAGAACUACCUAGGGCUUCCUCAAUCCACCUAAGGUUUCCACCCAAGAAUCAAAGAGUUCUUCAAGAUCCGAAAUUUAGGAUUUGUGGAGAUAUCAUUCAAGGUACUUUUGGAGAUACUUAGCCUGUUGGGGCGUACUACAUCGUAUGGAAGGUGUUGAGCCUGUAGGUGAUGAAGCUCAUGGCUAGAUUUCAGACUUUCCAUGGAUCCGGUAGAUAGACUUUGUUGAUUCCCGCUAGCAGUACUCGAUUAUCUUCAAACUUUUAGUUAUUUAGAUACUUUAUUAAUUGAGAGGAAUGCUUCGAAGACAUUGCUUUAGUCUUAGUCUUUAGAGGCUCAUAACUGUCAUUGAUGAGUUAGAUUUUCAGACAUUAGUUUGCUAAAUGUUCAUUAGUUAUUUUUCAGACAGUUUUAAUAUAAGAGUUUAUUCGUA